GGGGAUUUAGCUCAGUGGCACAGCGCCUGCCUGGCAAGCACAAGGUCCUGAGUUCAAUCCCCG
rnacentral:tRNA from 1 species